CAAGAAGGAGGCUACGCUGUUCGGGUACGAGGCAGUCUCGCAGCUCAAUCAUUCUAGUUGUCAAGUGGUUAACCAUAGGACUAGAGUGCUCGCCAGGCUGAGUUAUUUGGUUGAGAUCCCCACACACCAUCCAAGGAACAAUAUCAAAGUGAAAUCUUUGUUGAAGUCCAAUAAGUUCACACCACAGGACUGAGACAGUAACUGGCGACUUCCAGAUGAUCACUAUGCGCCCACUUUCCUCUUCAGCAUGAUUGGAUGUAAAAUGCCAGCCGGGGCAUGUAAGGUUCAGAAUACGGUUCAGGUUUGGUUCCUUUAUAUGGGUUUCUAUAAUAACACCAAAAGAAGGCUUAUGAAAAGCAAGCCAGGAUGCAAAAGGCCGAUGCUUAUCCGGGUCAUUAAGUCCUCGGAUGUUCCAAAAAAAGGGUUUUAUAUACAUCAGGAUGGGAUCAGAGGGUUAGGCUAGGUGAGAAGUCUCUCCCUUUGACAGGAGAUUCUUCCCAGAAGGUGGAAGAGAAGAGUUUAAAGAAGGUGGAGGAGAAGUGGUUGAACGUUUAGGCACGGGAGAUGAAGGUAUGACCAAUGGUUGAGUCAUGGCAUGUGAAGGAGGGGACACAGGUUGGGUUACUAGUGGAGGGUUAGUGGUUACAGCAGGGGGGUUAGUAGAAGAGGAUAGUACAGCGAAAGGGUUAGCUAAGACAAGCUGAGAGGGAUUACGGGAUGGAGACGUGCAGUCCAUAGGAGUGGGGGAAGGCGAACUUUCAGUUGGUGGUAAGGUUUCUGGGGCAGGUUCGAUUACAGGAGAUGGUUGAGUAGACCCAAUAGGAGCCUCAGUACAGACAGCAACAGGCCCAGCUUGAGGACCCUCUUCGGAAGUGAGAGCAGGAGGGUGGAAUCCAUGGAUACUCAACUGAAAUUGUGAUAACCUCUCCACUAUCACGGACUAUCUCCACUGAGGAAGGGAGAGGUCAAAGGGCAUUCCUUUUAGAUGAGCCCAAAUCGGCACUGCGUUUAGAUCAGUACUGACACCACCAGAAGCGUCCAUUGCGCCACCAAAAACAUACAUUCGCCAAUGUACCACAGCUUUUUCUCCAGAACUUUGCUCCUUCAUGAAAUACCGAGUCAGGGAUGACUAUACGAGGAAUACCAUCAGCCGAAUAAGAAGCAGGAGCAAGACGUGUGAGCUUCCUAUCCGCGUCUUUCCUUAGAUUUUGAGCUAGUGUAACAGAUGGAGUGGAAGCAGUUGUGCUAGUAAGAGGUUUAGGAUUGGGUACA